AGGAUAAUAAACUAAUUUGCAAUUAGAAAUUUUUGAUUAAAAUCAAAUUAUCUUA
rnacentral:tRNA from 1 species